rnacentral:rRNA from 1 species
GGUGGUCUUCAGUAUUUGACUCUCACAAGACCUGACAUGUCAUUUGCAGUCAAUAAAGUAUGCCAAUUUCUUCAUGCUCCUACCACAGCUCAUUGGACAGCAACCAAGCGGAUUUUACGGUAUGUGAAGCACACGUUAACUGUUGGUCUCACAUUUAGCAAAUCGUCAUCUACUCUUAUAAAUGCAUUUUCUGAUGCUGACUGGGCUGGCUGUGUGGAUGAUAGAAGGUCCACUAGUGGGUUUGCUAUAUUCUAUGGACCAAAUUUAAUUUCUUGGUGUGCAAAGAAACAGGCAACUGUCUCCAGGUCAAGUACAGAAGCAGAGUACAAAGCACUAGCAAAUGCCACAGCAGAAGUCAUUUGGCUCCAGUCCAUGUUGAAAGAACUUAAAAUUGCACAAGUGCAACCUCCUUGUCUUUGGUGUGAC